rnacentral:tRNA from 1 species
GGGCUUGUAGCUCAGGGGUUAGAGCAGCCGGCUCAUAACCGGUAGGUCGCAGGUUCGAUCCCUGCCAAGCCCACCA